GUCUUUUCGAGGUGGGAGCCGACUGUUGUGAGGUAUGGUGCUGGGUGUAGAUGCAAUGUGGCUCUCGAUAGCACCUUAUGGACAGUUGUGUCCCAAAGGAGGGAUGACAAUAGCUACUGAAGUAAGUUGAAAAUUCCUUCAAAAAGAUUUAAAGUCACUGGAUGUGCCACAAUGAUGACAGUUUAUUUGCUACUCUUGACUGCUAGAAUGAUGAGGAGCUUAACCACCAUUAUCUUAACUGAGGCACCCAAAAUGGUGGUUUGGGGAACAUAGAGAGUACACCUAAGUUCACAUGAAGUUUCUUCCCAGGUCCUAAAGAGCAAGCCUAACUCAAGCCAUUGGCAUACAGGCAUUAGACAGAAAAUUAGAAGUUGAAAUGGUGGAGUGCAACUUGUCUGGACCAGCUUUAUUUUUCUGGUGCCGAUGUUUGGAGACCUUUUAAAGGUAUGGAGAGUCGACUUGACUACACCGUGUGGAGCAAGUUUUAAAGAAGCAAAGGACUCAGAAUUCAUGCUUGAAGAAAUGCAGGUUAGUUUAAACUUUUAAGGAAAUUUUUAAGGUGGCAAAAGGUUUUAGUGGCAUAUACACCUUAAUCUGUAGAUGGGAGUGAUUAGCUGUUUGAAAGUUGAAAUGUGACUGAAAAGGAAAUUGAGUAGGGAAAUUUUAAAUGGGAUUAUUUUUCAUCUUCAAACAGGCAGACCUGUUAUCCUAAACUAGGUGAGUCAGCUUUUGGUACAUGUGAUAAUUUUCAAUGUAACCAAUGAUGUAAUGAUUCUGCCAAAUGAAAUAUAAUGAUAUCACUAUAAAACCGUUCCAUUUUGAUUCUGAGGUUACUCUACUAACAAGCAUCACACGUUUGUUUUUUGCCGUGAUUAAUAUGUUGUCUUUGCUUUCAGGGUUUUUAAUGACUACAGCAAGCAAGCAUGUAGCUUUACCGCUUGAAAGGUGAGGAUUGGAAAUAUUGGGACUAUUAUAAUUGCAGAAUACAUGAUGAUCUCAGUCCAGCUUGAACUCUCUCACUGAUUACCUGAUGACAAUAAAAGAUCUGAUAUUCUGCAUUCCCAUGUAGCAUUUUAAUUGAAGUCUGGAAAUGUGGCUAAAAGUCUGUCUUAUUUUUUGAGACAGGGUCUUGCCUCAUCCAAGCUGGAGUGCAGUGGCCCUUUGAGGCUUACUACAGCCUCAGACUUCUGGGCUCAAGUGAUCCUCAGCCUCCCAAUGGUCUUUGUAGACAGCCUGAUGGAGUCUCAUGGCACAAGAAGAUUAAAACAGUGUCUCCAAUUUUAAUAAAUUUUUGCAAUCC
rnacentral:lncRNA from 1 species